AACGAACGCUGGCGGCAUGCCUAACACAUGCAAGUCGAACGAAGCCUUCGGGCUUAGUGGCGCACGGGGUGCGUAACGCGUGGGAAUCUGCCCUUGGGUUCGGAAUAACAGUUAGAAAUGACUGCUAAUACCGGAUGAUGUCUUCGGACCAAAGAUUUAUCGCCCAAGGAUGAGCCCGCGUAGGAUUAGGUAGUUGGUGGGGUAAUGGCCCACCAAGCCGACGAUCCUUAGCUGGUCUGAGAGGAUGAUCAGCCACACUGGGACUGAGACACGGCCCAGACUCCUACGGGAGGCAGCAGUGGGGAAUAUUGGACAAUGGGCGAAAGCCUGAUCCAGCAAUGCCGCGUGAGUGAUGAAGGCCUUAGGGUUGUAAAGCUCUUUUACCAGGGAUGAUAAUGACAGUACCUGGAGAAUAAGCUCCGGCUAACUCCGUGCCAGCAGCCGCGGUAAU
rnacentral:rRNA from 1 species